AAAAAGAAAGAAAAUAAAAGUUAUGCUUGGUUAAAAGGCUUACACUUUAAACAUGUACACAUUACUACCCAUCUGAACAUCCAGCUUGUUUUGCUGAGCUACAAGACACCAAAACACAAGCUGAACUGGUACUUUUACUGAUGGUCAAAGCUGGCAGAAAGGAAACUGCAUUACUAAUACAACUGCUAGACAGACAAGACAUUUUAAAGAAGAUAUCACAAGAGUAAGGCAAUUGUAAAAUAAUUAACACAACAGGGGACAGUGGUGGCUUGGUGGUUAUGGCUCUGGGUUACUGAUCGGAAGGUCGGGGGUUGAUUCCCCAGCUCUGCCAAGCUGCCACUGUUGGGCCCAUGAGCAAGGCCCUUAACCCUCUCUACUCCAGGGGGCGCUGUAUCAUGGCUGACCCUGCACUCUGACCCAGCUUCCUGACAGGCUGGGAGUCGGCGAUGAAGCAGCAACAGGAGCAACAAGGAGUGGUGGAGGUUAAAGGUCGUGAUAGGCCUGAUGGUGAAGCUUCUGCAGUCUAAGGUGCAUCUUAAGGGUGGUGCGAGGACAGGGGAAGGCCUGGUGGAGGUCCUGAAGGCCUGAAGGGCUUCGCGUGGGUGAUGACCACUGGAGCUUGCAGUCGGCUAGCGUGGUAUGCAGAGAACUGGGCUUCGGCACUGCUAAAGAGGCUCUGACUGAUGCACGCAUGAUCCAAGAUCCGUAUAACUGGAGGCCGUACACAACUGGAGGGUCGGGUGGAGAUUCUGGCCACUAAUGCUGAUGCUUUAGUGCUGCCUGAUCUGUGGGGAUGACUGGACUUCUUGAGAGGCCAUGGUGGCAUGCAGGCAGCUGGGACUGGGACAUGCUAGCAGCGGCCUCAGAGUAAGAAUUCCCAGAAUUUCAAGAGCAUGUGUAUUAUA